CCAGACUCCUACGGGAGGCAGCAGUGAGGAAUAUUGGUCAAUGGGCGGAAGCCUGAACCAGCCAAGUCGCGUGAGGGAAUAAGGCCCUACGGGUCGUAAACCUCUUUUGCCGGGGAGCAAGGCCGCCGACGUGUCGGCGGAAGGAGAGUACCCGUAGAACAAGCAUCGGCUAACUCCGUGCCAGCAGCCGCGGUAAUACGGAGGAUCCGAGCGUUAUCCGGAUUUAUUGGGUUUAAAGGGAGCGUAGAUGGGUUGUUAAGUCAGUUGUGAAAGUUUGCGGCUCAACCGUAAAAUUGCAAUUGAUACUGGCAGUCUUGAGUACAGUUGAGGUAGGCGGAAUUCGUGGUGUAGCGGUGAAAUGCUUAGAUAUCACGAAGAACUCCGAUUGCGAAGGCAGCUUACUAAACUGCCACUGACAUUGAUGCUCGAAAGUGUGGGUAUCAAACAGGAUUAGAUACCCCAGUACAC
rnacentral:rRNA from 1 species